rnacentral:misc_RNA from 1 species
GUCCGUCAUUGGCUCACACGCAUGCAUCGAGGUCAGGAUGACCGAGUCGCCGACGCCGAAGACCGGCGUGCGGCGUGCAGGGCGGAGGGCGGUCCGGAUGGUGUCACACCCCCGUCGUCGUCGGAGAAACGCGGUGCCGACGGCGACGGGAGCACUAGCACGUGCAAGGGGGGCGGCACGCUUCGCCUGCCCCCGCUGAACAUUCAGUUGACGGAUCACCCGCUUGAGUCUGUGUCGUCGACGCACCGGGCGGACCGCCUGCUCAAGCCAGCCAGCCCGUGGGCACGCGAGCUCGACUUUAGCGACCGCGCCUAUACCCCCCACACCGUCUUCAUACUGCUCAGCAUUCUUAUGUCCAUCUUGCUCAUGUUGCGGUACUACUAUUACCCCAACAUGGGCGUGGCGGCGAAAGUGAAGGUUGGCCUCUCCGCUGCUGCCUUUGUUUUUAUUGGCUUUGGUGCGGUACACCUUCCCGACUCCCUAAUGGUACGACCCCACCCGGCUGUGUGGCGUGCCGUCCUGGCGCUUGGCGUGCUAUAUCUGGUGUUCCUCACCUUUAUGAUAUUUCAGGACCUGGAGACGGUGCGGAAGAUAAUGGGCUACUACGAUGCUUCCCUGUUGAACAAGCUGCCAGAGCGCACCUACGCGCAAGACUGCCGCAUGAGCACCGAGGAGGACCCCUGGUUCUUUGUCCACACCUCCUUCGACGUCUUCCUCCUCGCUCACUCGCUCGGCUACGUCAUCAAGAUGCUCAUACUGCGGGACUGGCGCAUGGUGACGGCCGUGUCGCUCGGCUUCGAGGUUGUGGAGGUGACCUUUCAACACGUGCUGCCGAACUUCAGCGAGUGCUGGUGGGAUCAUAUCGUACUCGAUGUGCUGAUCUGCAACGCGGGCGGGAUGCUGGUAGGGAUGUGGCUGCUGCGGCAGCUGAACGCGAAGCAGUACAAGUGGAUCGCUCUAAAGGAGAUUCCAACCGUGAAGGGGAAGGCGAAGCGGCUCCUUGAGCAGCUGGGGCCGCGCAGCUUCGAGCGCUACAACUGGAACAUCUUCCAGAGCCCGACGCGCUUCUUCCAGGUCACCGGCAUCCUCCUCCUGAUGCUGCUUCAGGAGCUGAACUGCUUUACAAUGAAGGCGAUCCUGCAUAUGGCGCCAACGCAUCACAUUGUGACAUGUCGACUGGCCCUGUGGGCGCUGCUCGCCACUUCGUGCCUGCGAGAGCUGUACGAGUACAUGACAAACCCGCGCAUCAAGCGCAUCGGCACAACGGCGUGGGUGGCGAUACUUGGCAUGGGCAUGGAGACCAUAUGGAUCACAAAGAUGGCCGUCGAGGGGCAGUACUUCCAAGACGCGGUCAUGCCCACUCACGUCGCGGUGCCGUGGAUGGUUGCCAUCGCCGCGUUUGGGAUUUGGCUGGUCUUGUACUUUGGUGUCUUGUCCCUGGAGCAGCGCAAUCGCCGUCGCGGUGCGGCGUACCUACUCGUGAACCUCUUCUUCUACGCGGCUGCUGUGUGUGUGCUGGCGCUGUUCCUAAUGGGUCUACCCGAUCUACAGAUUGGUCGGCAGGCAUUCGAGUCGGCGAUGGCGCCGUAUGAGCGGUACAUCUUCCUUUGGCGCUAGCGCUGGCAGAACGAGAGGUAGAGAAGGCGACGGACAAACAGGGGGAAGGGUGGACAGCUAGCAUGCAGGCUGCGUAGUUAGCAUGCGCGCGCAUGGGCCAUGCCAGCUGCUCGCGUCUGCGCCAUCUUCCUUCUCUCAUCUCUUUCUCAUAUCAAGUUCCCCCGUUGGGGCUGCGUUUCUUCGCUUCGACUUCGCUCCCUGAUGAUGCCGGGCCGUCUGACCGUGGCAUCACAGGGCCCAGCAUCCCGCCCCUUGCUGGGAAGCCGAGCAGCCUGCACAGCCAGCCCUCGAAUUGCGGCUUACGGGCUCUUGGUGCCGGCGAGCCGGUCUGGGUUGGCGCUGCGCCAAGGAGGCUGGCGGUAGUGAUCACGCUUGGUCCAGCGCACUACGAAUCGCGUCGGUGACUCAACGAGUAUAUGCCUCCGCUUCCUGCUGCUCUGCUUUGGCUGCGUUGCGGUGAUGUGGAGUGUAAGCCUGGACCCUAGCCUGCGCCGCAUGCAGUGGAGGUGCAGUGGGCCUGAACGACACCCAACGGCGCUGGUUGGGCCGGCUCCUUGACGCAGCCGUGGUGCGAACGAGCUCGGUGAGGUGCUGUUGUGCGCACAUAUAUAUAUAUAUAUAUGCAUCUGUGUGUGUGUGUUAGCUUGCUCGUGGUAGAGUGGCGCUGUGAAAGAUGGGCGUAUGCGUGACUUCUUCAUGUGCCUUACUGGUUGGUCGUCACAUGAGUCGCUAAU